UAAUGGUGAGUGCCUUGACUCUCUGGUAGAUAAUCAUGGCCUUCUUGAGCAGGGCUGAGAGUGUAGAGCCCAGAAUGUUGGCAUCCAUGAUGCUUGUUCUAAACAUGGCAGAGACCCCUCAGGCAGGACAGAAGCAAACAGUGAAGAGGUGAGCUGAAGACUUGGAGCUGCCUCCCAGAGGCCGAGGCCCCCGACCUUUCUUCUACCAAUGGUGCUUUGUGAGAGGACCUUAGCCCCCUAAUCUUGUGGAGGUCACUAAUUGGAAAGAAACCAAUCUCCGUUGAAGGGAAAUCUCCGUUGAAUGAGGACUGGCAGAAGGCAGACAAGUGGGUCCCCCACCCAUAUUCUGGCUCUAAAACAGGGGGGCUUUUCUGUCCCAGAUGACCUCAGCAGCCUAACACAAAAGGAGAAAAGUUGCAUAUUGAGAUCCAAGCCCAGCCGAAGCCCAAUGGAGAAGAAACUUUUUCAGAACCUUCUGCACCUUAACUGUGUUUCAGAUGUUAUAGAAACUCCGGAGAGAGAUCCCAUGGUGGAGAUGGAGUGAGAUCGGGGGUCUAGGCUUUAUCCUAGCAGCCUGAGGUUCCAGCUGACAACUCUCUGAUGCAGAUGCCUCACUUUGGAUGAGACACACAACAGGAGCUGUGUGUCUCUGAGGGAAUCACGGGCGCUUGCCUCCUCCCCAUUCACACCGUCCCAAUCAUGCACUGGUGAUAUUAAUAAAGAUAAUUUAUGUCA